rnacentral:tRNA from 1 species
UUGCGGCGGCGGCGCGGGCGUCGGGCCGGCUCCUGCUCGGCAGGCUCCUGGGGCUCGGCGUCCCCGGUCGCGGC